UAAAAACAUAACUUAAAGGAAACGGUAAGCAAUAAAUGAAUCUGAAAAAACAAGAACCUAAAUAUUUACCCCAGUCAACUCAAUCGGCUGGACUCUAUUACCUUUCUCGAUUUUUCAUUUUAAUAAACCCAUCCGUUCUGACAAUAGCUAUUUGCAAUGAAAAAAAUUUACUUGCUAUCUAGUUUUGAAAUCAGAUUCCCUCAACUUCUCCUUCAAUCUAGACUUCUUGCCCAUCUUCCCUCCGAGCCGAAAGAAUGGCAAUUCAACUUUUCUCCCAUCAGAUCCUUAACUUUAUGCCUUCCAAACAUGCAUAUGCUUCUGCUGCAAAUGGAGAAGAGACAUUGUUGUGGAGGGUCGACUUUAAGACCAGGAGUUCGCCCAUCAGACCCCAAACCACCAGACCUGUCGCUGAUUUGAAGCUGCUAUUGUCGAACACCGCGUCGAACUGAAUCGUCAUUCUUGGUCUCUUCCUGUCGUAUCUUUCCUCUCAUGUAUGAACUGGUUUCUAGAAAACCAGAUUAGCCAUAAGGCAUAAUAGAAAAGACAACAAUGUUCAUCAGUUCCUCCCUUGAAAACCCAAGGCAUUGACGAAAGAUGUAAGGACUGUCUUCUACCCAGGAACAGCAGCGGAGGCAUCUGUCAUUUGCAAUGACUCUUCUGUAUCUAAGAUUAGCUAGAUUAGGAAUGAAAUCCCAGGAAAUUUGCCAAAUAGUUACUGUAAUUUUUUAAGGUAGUUGUAAGCCCCAUAGUUUCCUGUAAAAUUCUUUAAUUUCGAUUUGUAUUAAAUAAUUACAAGGAUCCGAAUUAGCCUCUUGUAAUAGUUUAUAGGAACUACAUACUGAAAAUUCUCCGGACGGCUCUCAUUUCCAAACUUGAAUAUCCUCGUGAUCAGUUUCUACAAGAGGGAUCUGUAUAAUUUUUUAUGCAGUUUCCGCUUGAAAGAUAUUGUUAAUCAA